CCUACGGGUGACAGCAGUGGGGAAUAUUGGGCAAUGGGCGCAAGCCUGACCCAGCAACGCCGCGUGAAGGAAGAAGGCUUUCGGGUUGUAAACUUCUUUUCUCAGGGACGAAGCAAGUGACGGUACCUGAGGAAUAAGCCACGGCUAACUACGUGCCAGCAGCCGCGGUAAUACGUAGGUGGCAAGCGUUAUCCGGAUUUACUGGGUGUAAAGGGCGUGUAGGCGGGAAAGCAAGUCAGAUGUGAAAACCAUGGGCUCAACCUGUGGCCUGCAUUUGAAACUGUUUUGCUUGAGUACUGGGGAGGCAGACGGAAUUCCUAGUGUAGCGGUGAAAUGCGUAGAUAUUAGGAGGAACACCAGUGGCGAAGGCAGUCUGCUGGACAGCAACUGACGCUGAGGCGCGAAAGCGUGGGGAGCAAACAGGAUUAGAUACCCCAGUAGUC
rnacentral:rRNA from 1 species